GCUAGCUGCCGAAACAGACGUCAGGCGUGGAUUUUCGGUCACCGGCUCUCAUUCGGUGUGGAGUUGCUCCGGGACCGGACGCAGGGGGAGUGAGAAUAGUCACCGGUGGACAUCUGCUUGUUGGACCACCGGCGCUUCCUCCAUCGACUCAAAGCUGCGGGCGUGUGGGCGGAGCCACGAUAGCACAUGGGCGGGCCUUGCAGCCCCAACCCCGUCUCUCCUCCUGGCUGCUGCUUACAACAGAGCGACAGGUGAUUAGAUAACAAGGCCCAGGUGGGCCAUCUACGCACCUGUUGCUGAUUUCGAGGCCGAUCCUGGCAACACCCCGCUUCGCUGCAGACCACGCCCCCUCCACAGUUAGCUUCAGAAUAACAAUGUUAUUACAAAGAAUAAGAGACCUAUUUAUACUCUAGAAAUGUUGGUCUUACUUAAAAAUACACGCGUUUAGUUGUGUUCAGGGUUGAAAAAAAUAGCAUAUGGCUCUUACGGAAAUACAUUUUAAAAUAUUUGGACUCUUGGCUCUCUCAGCCAAAACGGUUCCCGACCCCUGCUUUAGAGGGUCAAAAUAAAAUGAAGUGGAGGGCCACAUCCACCCCCUUGGCCUUGAGUUGGACACCUGUGGGUUACUGUAGGUCAGGAGUGUCAAACUCAUCUUCAUUGAGGGCCACAUCGCAGUAAUGGGUGCUUUUAGAGGACUACUUUUUAAAAAUUGCUUUACAUUAUGCAUGCCGGUAAUAACCUGUGAUUAAUCAUGAUUCAUUGAAAUGCAUAUGCAUUUUAAUAUUACAUUUUUUUACGUAUAACUUGUUUUUAUAUCAUAAAUAAAGGUGACAAGCAGUUGUUUUUAUCCCACAAAAAUAGUUUUACAUUACAGUAUAUAAUAUUAUCAUUGACAUGAUCAGAUAUUAUUAAAGCUUAAAAUAUGCAUUUUUUUUUGUCCGUCAAAAUUUAAAAAAAUAAAAUAAAAAGUAUUUUAUUGAAACCCAUUUUUUUCCAGGCUUUCAAGGGCCAAAUAAAAUGACACCUGUGUGUUACUGUUGGUCAGGGGUGUCAAAUUUGUUUUCACUGAGGCCCUCAACUGGCCCCCGGGCCUUGGGUUUGACACCUGCAGGUUGGGUAAUGGAGAACUCCCCCCCCCCCUCCUUGCAUACCACCCCUACACCCACUUUGCACCCCGCCUGAGGCGUCCACAAUAUACUGCCCAUCUCGAGGAGUGUAUGACCUCUGACCUCACGUCUAGCCAAAGGCUCAGGUCUGUGGGGGUCAAGCCAGGUGGCUUCCCAGGGUCUUAUUGGCGCGUCCAGGAUCACAUGACAUUUGAACCGCCGCCCCUUUUCGCUUAAUUAAAAAACUCUCGUUUGAUUUCCCCCCCCUCUACAUUACGGGUCAGACGGUCGGGAGGAGGUCGGCGAAAACCCGUUAAAGUGGGAACAUCUGCUCUGGCUUGGGUUCGCUCCUUUACCAGACGGCGAGAAGGCUUUAAUCACGGCGACGGCGACGGUCCUGUCGCAACAUGCUCGACCGCACGAGCAACUCCCCGUGGAAAUUUUGGAAUCUUUCCCAUUGUUCCUGAAGGAAAAGGGGCGGGGCUUCGUAUGGAAGUGGGGAACGCCAGGAAAUGACAGGCAUUCUUUGUGGACUGUUUGAAAAUAAACGGGUGGCCCCUCCUGACAAUUAGGCCCCAAACUUCAAAAUGAGGACACAAUUAAAACGUUCAGUUUUGCAGUGGAAUCUUCUGUUUUCUAUCUUUUUUGUCCUUAUUUUGCCUCACAUACCCCCCCGCCCCCCGAGUUUAACCGCCAGCCUGCUGCUUGAGCUCUGCUUUAUGAGGUGUGACAGAGAGGUCUGUGCAGACUGGAACGUAAAGGACUUCAACGGACUUCACCCCUAUACGGGCCCUCGUAUACAGGAAGUGGCGCUUUACUGCUGAGCUGGCAUGGAAGUGUGUGUCUAGGGUGGGGGGUAGGCCCUAAUUGCUGACUUUCUACUUUUCGUGAAGGAUGUUAGACUCAAAGUACAUUUUAUUUAUAAAGCGCUUGUGCACAAAACAUAGGAGAAGUAAAACAACAAUUCAAUGAAAACAACAACAACAUAAAAAGGAUACAAAGGGGAUUAAAAAUGAUAGACAAAAGGUGCAUUAACUAAAAGCUUUAUUAAAAAGAGAAGUUUUCAAAUGCUUCUUAAAAGUCUCAACACAGUAAAGAUCACGGAGGGACUGUUGCAAGUUGUUCCAGAGCACACGUGUCAAACUCAAGGCCCGCAACAUCAUUUUAUCUGGCCUGCAAACACCUGGAAAUGAUAUGUGUCAAUAAAAUACUGUGUUUUUCGGACUAAAAAUUUAUUUUUUUUCCUCAAAACUUGACAGUGUGCCUUAUAACCCGGUGUGCCUAAUGUACGGAAUAAUUCAGGUUUUGCUUACCGACCUCAAAGCAACUUUAUUUGGUACAUGGUGUAAUGAUAAGUGUGACUACUAGAUGGCAGUCACACUUAAGAGAUAUGUUUGGACUGCAAUAUGAUGGCAGUCACACAUAAGAGAUAUGUGUAGACUGCAAUAUUACUGAAGUGAACAACACCAACAUUUUAUAUGUUUUAUUGAAAAUGGAUUGUACAUACAAGUAUUAUUAUGGUGUGUGAAUAAGGUAAGACAUAUUGUCUGCCGUUUUGUUUCACGAUAAUAUGCAAAACAACUUUUCUUACCUGCUGAUCUGUAUUUGGAAUCUGCAUAAGUCCUGAAAAAUAGUGUGCCUUCGCCUUUGUAGUCCGUGGAGACACCGUAGUCGAUAAGCUUCUUCUUUUUCUCUAUCUUCUUGUUAUGGGACAUUCAUCAUUCAUCUGUUGCCAUUUCUAAAAUAAAGUAGUGUAAAGUUCUUACUUAUAUCUGUCAGUAAACUCGCCAUGAAAGCACUAAAACAUACCGGAACUUUAGUUAUUAGAGGGUUCCGGUCGGACGGUUUUUCACGGGAUACAUUUCUGGCGUUGUUGUUUCCAGAUGAGGAAAUGCUGCUCCGUUAUUGAUUGAAGUAAAGUCUGAAUGUCAUUAAAACAGUUAGCGCCAUCUUUUGACACUUCUUCCACUCCUGCCCUUGAACGCUAGACCGCUACAACAAAGAUGACGGGGAGAAGACGCUGUCGAAGGUGAGCCACGUAAAUAAGACCCCCCACAAAACGGCGCAUCCUGAAGCGACUGUCAGAAAGCUACUUGAAGAUGAUCUGUAAAACAUCAUCAAUGCAACAUUUUGACCAAAGAAUCACCAUUACAUGUUAUGUAGACCAAAAAGAAGUAUUUUCCAUUUAGAAAAAAAAAAAAAAAAUUUAUUAUCAUACUUUCCAAACAUGUUUUGUAUAAAUAAAUAUAUUUUACAACAAACUACCCAUCAAAUGAAUCAAAAUGACAAUAAAUGUUACGUUGUUCUUUACAGCAUAUUACUGUAAUUUGAAAAAAACUCCUACUGUUUUUUGCGUUAAAAUUAUGUUGACUGAGCUGCCAGUUUUUGAUUGUAAAAUCUUUGGGGGGUUUUUUAACGGUGUAUUACUGUAAAUGGAAAGACGGUACAUUUGUUUUUAUGGUACAACAACUGGCAGCUAAGUUGCCAGAAUUAAAAAAAAAACUUGUACUGUUUUUCCAUGAACAAUAUAAUGUUGUAAAAAUCAACGUCAAUUUAACACAAGAAUGCUAGCAAUUAAACUGCCAGCCAAUUUCUCAUUUUAGAAAUAUUUCUGAGAUGAUAAAAACAGUAAAGAUGCAGAUUUUGUACUUGACGUACUUCUGUCUAGAUGCCUGUAAUAACAGCUUGUGUUCUUUUUUAGUCAUAACACACUUUACUUCCUCCUCCUCUUUUCCCCCCACUGGGCCGGUGGUAGUUCCCAGGUAUUUGAGCGGUCUAGCGUAGCUUGUUCAGUCCUCCGUGAGACAAAGGCAGCGUGCUUCCAGCAGAGGGAUGAAAGAAAAAGGGGCCGUUCACCACUCCUGUUUACAAUGGGAACCCUCCUUAGCAAGGCUGUAGAGCAAAAACCACCUUUCUCUUUUCCUUUUUUUAUUUUUAUUUUAACGUCGUCACAGAGAAGGGAGGCUGUCUAUAAAUAAGAACCGGAUGUCAUUUACCUUGCCCAAGCAACUUUUUCAUCACAGGAUAGGAGAAGGUGUUUGGAUUGAUUUUAAAUGCAAAAAAUUUUUGCGCACAAAUAUAAUGCAUAUACAUAUAUUUUUGCAUAUAUAUGUGUGUAUAUAUGAAUGUAUGCAUGUUUAUGUAUGUAUGUAUGUAUGUAUGUAUAUAUAUUAGGGAUGUCCCAAUCCAGGUUUUUGCACUUCCGAUCUGAUACCGAUAUCGUUUUUGCACUUCCGAUCCGAUACCGAUACUGGCCGAUACUGACCUAUCUGAGCAUUUAUUAAAGUUUAAAGUUAUUUAACCUACUUAGUUGUCAGAUUCAUAUUGAAAAGGAUUUUAGUACUCUUGACAACAACUAGCCAGCUGAAUUAGGUGAGUUUGAAUAAUACACAAUGGUUGGUAUUUAAGGAUAAACACAAAAUAUAAAAAAUUAUACAUGACAAACAGAAAUGGAAUCAUUAAACAGUAAAAAAGUGAACAGUAUAAAGUGCAAAUAAUGCUGUAAACAUUAUUAAAAAAAGCAAAACACAAAAACAACCUGAGUGGGAUAAAAUGUCUAUAACUCCGCAUCAAUACUUGCUCUUGAACAAGUGUAAACUCGCAAGAGUCGUUAAAAUGUCUUACAAUUUUACCACCACGCUUGACUUUAUUGUGGCAUGUUUUGCACUCCACCUCUUCACCUUUUUCGUUUUGAAGGAUAAAAUAAUCCCACACAGCUGACAUUGUUACCGUAACUUUUAAUUCACACGGCCGUCUGAACGGUUAGAACGCAGACCUGUGGAUGUUUUGAAGGUGUCCUGGAAAAUGCGGAACGGAGUUUAGGACGCAGCAGAAGAGUGGAAUGUAUUAUUUGAAUCGGUGCGUUGGAAAACACAGACCGGACUUUUUUUUAAAAAACUGGAUCUGGCUGGAUUGGCAUUUUCCCAUGCCUUGCCAAUACGCAUUUUUUGGCAAAUAUCGGCGACCGAUCCGAUCCAAAUAUCGGAUUGGGACAACCUUAAUACAUAUGUAUGUAUGUGUGUGUAUAUGGAUAUUAAUAUAUAUGUAUGUGUGUAUAUGUAUUUCUGCAUGUGUAUAUGUGUGUGUACA